AGAGUUUGAUCAUGGCUCAGGACGAACGCUGGCGGCGUGCUUAACACAUGCAAGUCGAACGGAGUUUAAAUCAGUAGUUUACUACAGAUUUAAACUUAGUGGCGGACGGGUGAGUAACACGUGGGCAACCUGCCCUAAAGAGGGGGAUAACACCGAGAAAUCGGUGCUAAUACCGCAUGACAUUAGAGCUUCGCAUGGAGCUUUAAUCAAAGGAGCAAUCCGCUUUAGGAUGGGCCCGCGUCUGAUUAGCUAGUUGGUGAGGUAGAGGCUCACCAAGGCGACGAUCAGUAGCCGAUCUGAGAGGAUGACCGGCCACACUGGAACUGAGACACGGUCCAGACUCCUACGGGAGGCAGCAGUGGGGAAUAUUGCACAAUGGGGGGAACCCUGAUGCAGCAACGCCGCGUGGAGGAAGAAGGUUUUCGGAUUGUAAACUCCUGUCUUUUGGGACGAUAAUGACGGUACCAAAAGAGGAAGCCACGGCUAACUACGUGCCAGCAGCCGCGGUAAUACGUAGGUGGCGAGCGUUGUCCGGAAUUACUGGGCGUAAAGGGCGCGUAGGCGGCCUGUUAAGUCAGAUGUGAAAACCCCAG
rnacentral:rRNA from 1 species